GCAGUCUGCAACUCGAGUGCAUGAAGCUGGAAUCGCUAGUAAUCGCGAAUCAGAAUGUCGCGGUGAAUACGUUCCCGGGUCUUGUACACACCGCCCGUCACACCAUGGGAGUCGGGAAUGCCCGAAGCCGGUGACCCAACCUUAAGGAGGGAGCCGUCGAAGGUGGAGCCGAUGACUGGGGUGAAGUCGUAACAAGGUACC
rnacentral:rRNA from 1 species